ACAGGCUUUAGCGCGGGUCGGAUCGGUUUGCAGCUGCUCCUUUCCGCCGAUCGCUCACCGUCAGGCUUGGACUGUGGAUGUUUUUGCUUCCUCGAAGCAAGGAUGAUGUGGGACGAGUCAGGCAUGAAUAUGUCAUCGGUGUUUGAACCUGACACCACGCCAAGUUCCUUCACGCCAUGUCCGGUCCAGUUCACUCGGGAAAACAAUCCACGCAGUAAAAUGCAUCAAAGUCCACAUCUUGACGGAAGAAGAUGGAAGAGAUGGUUGGAUUAUCAAGUUCUCCAUAACGGGUCGAGAGAAAAUUCUGUCUUCCGUCGGGGGGUCAUGACAGGAAAUAACCGAGAAGGACGUCCAGGUCCGGGGGAAAAGCCGCUUUACUGCAAGUCACGACAUGUUCUGUAUGCAAUCAGAGUUACGUAAGAGACACAAAUGAAUUAAUUAGGCACAAUAACAUGUCAUUUGCAUUCACUUGAGUGUGGAAGUGGGCGAGAGGCUUUGUGGGAAUGUAACCCCGCCCCAUGCAUCCUGGACCUGCUUUGCAUAGUAUAUGUGACCACUCCUUUUAGAGGCGGCCUCAGUGAUGUUGACGAUGGAACUCUGAAUAAAAAGAGGGACGAGGGAGCUGAACCUUAGAGCGUAGGGCGAGACUGGGACUAAGUGUUCAGCGCCAUGUGUUCUCCUCAUGAGCUAAAUUGAA